UACGUAGGGGGCGAGCGUUAUCCGGAUUUACUGGGUGUAAAGGGAGCGUAGACGGUUAAUCAAGUCUGAAGUGAAAGCCCGCGGCUCAACUGCGGAACGGCUUUGGAAACUGAGUAACUGGAGUGCUGGAGGGGCAGGCGGAAUUCCUGGUGUAGCGGUGAAAUGCUUAGAUAUCACGAAGAACUCCGAUUGCGAAGGCAGCUCACUGGACUGCAACUGACACUGAGGCUCGAAAGUGUGGGUAUCAAACAGG
rnacentral:rRNA from 1 species